CCCCAGCCUGCGAGGGCGCGUGCGCGCGGCGGCGGCGUGGGCUCGCAAGGCUCUUCCUCCCUCCCUCCCGCGCCGGGCACUUCCGGGCCGGCCCGGAUCCGUCGCCGGGUUUUGGAAGCCACCGCCGCUCCCUGCGCCAGGCGCCGGGCUCUCAGCAGGGCGAGUCCGCCCACCGGCCGCUGUGGAGAGGAUGAGUUACCUCGCCUGGCGGGGAUCUCCUUCGACCCAGCCUUAAACUUUCCUUACCUAAAAAGUCCACUGAUAACGCCUCUUAAAUCGAGAGACGUAGGGUGCGAAAGGAGGCCAACUGUUUCUCCGUACGAUUUCCUUGAGGUUGUAGCAGACUAGAAAGCCAAUAUGCAACUUUUACUGAACCCUUGUUGCGAGCCCGUAACUAUGUGAAGGGAUAGAACAAAAACAGCAGUGUACGUCUCCAGCUAGAAAUACAGACAACUCCGGGUAGGCAAAUGAAGUGCCACAGUGGAACGGUUUUCGGUUAGAGAAGAUGAGCCUCAAAAGGAAGUCUCAGGCCUAGGAAGGGAGGGGGUCCGCCGAGAGGCAGCCGAGGUUGCUUGCAAAGCACUGAACAGGUGGCAUCCCAUGACUGACGUGGGUAAAUUAUGCUGUAUCUAAGCAAAUGUCUGAAGAGAUGAGGAGACUGCCUUAUGGAGUUUAAAGAAAGGUGAAAACAGAACGUCAUUCAGCAUUCGUGAGAGAAAACUUGUAGCUGCCAAGAAUAUUCUCCUUUAAAGAGGUUUGAGGGACCAAAGCAGGCACGAAUAUCAUUGAAGGACCCCCGCCCCCAUUCCUUUCACUUUAACUGCGCAUCCGUGAACUGUUUACCUCCUUUCCCCCCAAAAAAGAGAGGUGGAAGAAAAACAUUAUUUUGAGCACUGUAAUCAAAGACCUGUACGAUCUUUUUAAAUCCUCUCAACUUCAUUGCAGUUCCAUGGUGGAGAUUAUUCCCACCUUACAGAUAAAGCAACUGAGGAUCAGAAGUAAUAAGUAACUCAUUGAAGGGUGAGUGGAGUUUGAAUACUGGGAAAGCAGAUUUCCCUCCCUUCAAAUUAAUACUACUUUACCUUAUUCAACGUAUUUAACACCCAAAACGUGUGGGAUACAACCAGCAUCAAAGAUUUUCAGAAAAAAAGCCUGGCCACUUUUUGGGAAUUGAACACCUGCAGUAGUGUCCUCUCCUUCAUGUACCUCACAGUGUUUCAAUGCAGUUCACUUGCUGCGCCAGGACCCUGAUAAAUGUUUAUGGUUUGAGUGAACUGGAGCCCACUAGCAUUGCCAAAACACCUGGAAGGGAUGUGCAUGGAAGAGAAGAGUGUUCUAUGUUAUACAUCUAUUUAAGGUAAAUAACUAUUUAGACAAAAAAGAAGAGGAAGGUCAUCAUUUACAGCACUAUUUUCUCAGCAUUACAAUUUUCACUGCUUUUCCCCCUUAAAAAAAAUAAAAGUAAUUUAUGCAUAUUUCCUAUGAAUUCCCAAAUAAGUUUCCCUUUUCCACUUUUCUAAUGGAAUAUCAUUUUCUUUUUGUUUAUAGAAACUUUUCAUGUAACACAGCUAUUUUUGUGCUUAUUUCAAAUACUUCCUCUUUGUUACUUCAUGUGAUUUUAUUUGUGAAUCUCUUAUAUUGGUUUUACCUUUCCCCUCUGUAUAACCAACUAGAUUUUAAGGAUAUAAAUAAAGAGAGGAAUUAUAUUUCAUUUUUCUUCUAGAGAGGUAAAUUGGAGCUCAGAAAAGUUAAGUAAUUUAAUUAAGCCAAUAGACCAGUGUUUACUAAAAUUUAUCUUGUGGGUCAUUAGAUUUAAGGCAGGUAUAAUCAUACACACAUACACAUGGUUUAGUGGCCAAAUUAGUUUAGGAAAGACUGCGUACUAUGUAAAUUCUCAGUGAGUAACAAUAAAUAUUAUAUACCAAAAACAGAAAUAUUUCUGCAGCAAGCAAAGUGAUCUAUUCAUCUAUUAAGCUUAUUUGAAUGCAUAGUGUCAUUUGUUUUGCUCUUACAUCUUUCGUUUGAGGGUUUUUGUUUUCUUUUUGCUUCUUGAGUUAAACUUAUUCAUAUACAUAUAUUAAACUUAUAUAUAUAUAGGUAUAUUAA